rnacentral:rRNA from 1 species
AACGAACGCUGGCGGCAUGCCUAACACAUGCAAGUCGAACGAGACCUUCGGGUCUAGUUGCGCACGGGUGCGUAACGCGUGGGAACCUGCCCUUAGGUUCGGAAUAACUCCCCGAAAGGGGUGCUAAUACCGGAUAAUGUCUUCGGACCAAAGAUUUAUCGCCUUUGGAUGGGCCCGCGUUGGAUUAGCUAGUUGGUAGGGUAAAAGCCUACCAAGGAGACGAUCCAUAGCUGGUCUGAGAGGAUGAUCAGCCACACUGGGACUGAGACACGGCCCAGACCCCUACGGGAGGCAGCAGUGGGGAGUAUUGGACACUGGGCGCAAGCCUAAUCCCGCCAUGCCGCGUGAGUGAUGAAGGCCUUAGGGUUGUAAAGCUCUUUUACCCGGGAUGAUAAUGACAGUACCGGGAGAAUAAGCUCCGGCUAACUCCGUG